UACGUAGGGUGCAAGCGUUGUCCGGAAUUAUUGGGCGUAAAGAGCUCGUAGGCGGUCUGUCGCGUCUGCUGUGAAAACCUAGGGCUUAACUCUGGGCGUGCAGUGGGUACGGGCAGGCUAGAGUGCGGUAGGGGAGACUGGAAUUCCUGGUGUAGCGGUGAAAUGCGCAGAUAUCAGGAGGAACGCCGGUGGCGAAGGCGGGUCUCUGGGCCGUAACUGACGCUGAGGAGCGAAAGCAUGGGGAGCGAACAGG
rnacentral:rRNA from 1 species